UGCGGAAUAGCUCAGCGGUAGUAGCGACGGGCUCAUAACCCGUAGGUCGGUGGUUCGAGUCCACCUUCCGCAACCA
rnacentral:tRNA from 1 species